UAAAGUCUUGGUCCUAAACCUAAUAUUAUCUACGACCUGAAUUAUACAUGCAAGCCUCAACAUGACGGUGAAUAAAGCCCACACACCAACCGGAGCUGGUAUCAGACUCAAAAAAAUAUCUACGACGCCAAGCAAGCCAAUGCCACACCCACACGGGCUCACAGCAGUAAUUAACAUUGGGCCAUAAGUGAAAACUUGACCCAGGAAAGAUCCUCAGGGCCGGUUAAUCUCGUGCCAGCGACCGCGGUUACACGAUAGGCCCAAGAUAAUACUAAACGGCGUAAAGCACGACUAGAAGCAGUUAAACCAAUUAAGAAUAAAACAAAGCCAAGCCGUAAAACGUCAAAGCCAAACUAGACACAUCUUCUUAAUUCACUAACAAUUUAACUCGUGAAAACCAGGGCACAAACUAGGAUUAGAUACCCUACUAUGCCUGGCCAUAACACAGCAACACACAACAUAAGUUGCCCGCCAAAUAACUACGAGUGAAAACUUAAAACUUAAAGGACUUGACGGUACUUCACACUCAACCUAGAGGAGCCUGUCUAUUAACCGAUAUUCCACGAUUAACCCAACCAUUUCUAGCCAUCCAGCCUAUAUACCGCCGUCGCCAGCCUACCUUGUAAAAGAAACAAAGUAAGCUAAACAGUAUUACACUAACACGACAGGUCAAGGUGUAACUAAUGAAAUGGACCAAGAUGGGCUACAUUAUCUAACUCAGAUAACACGAAUAAAGUCAUGAAACUAACUCUUAAAGGCGGAUUUAGCAGUAAGCCGAGAAUAGAACACUCAACUGAAACCAAUGCAAUGAAGUGCGUACACACCGCCCGUCAUCCCUGUAAACACAAAUACAACACUCCAUAAAACUUAAAAACGCUAUAAAACAGGGCAAGUCGUAACAUGGUAAGCGUACUGGAAAGUGUGCUUAGAAA
rnacentral:ncRNA from 1 species